GAAGGGCGUGCUAAUCUGCGAUAAGCGCCGGUAAGGUGAUAUGAACCGUUAUAACCGGCGAUACCCGAAUGGGGAAACCCAGUGUGAUUCGUCACACUAUCAUUAACUGAAUCCAUAGGUUAAUGAGGCGAACCGGGGGAACUGAAACAUCUAAGUACCCCGAGGAAAAGAAAUCAACCGAGAUUCCCCCAGUAGCGGCGAGCGAACGGGGAGGAGCCCAGAGCCUGAAUCAGCAUGUGUGUUAGUGGAAGCGUCUGGAAAGGCGCGCGAUACAGGGUGACAGCCCCGUACACAAAAGCGCAUGUGCUGUGAGCUCGAUGAGUAGGGCGGGACACGUGGUAUCCUGUCUGAAUAUGGGGGGACCAUCCUCCAAGGCUAAAUACUCCUGACUGACCGAUAGUGAACCAGUACCGUGAGGGAAAGGCGAAAAGAACCCCGGCGAGGGGAGUGAAAAAGAACCUGAAACCGUGUACGUACAAGCAGUGGGAGCACCCUUUGGGGUGUGACUGCGUACCUUUUGUAUAAUGGGUCAGCGACUUAUAUUCUGUAGCAAGGUUAACCGAAUAGGGGAGCCGGAGGGAAACCGAGUCUUAAUUGGGCGUUAAGUUGCAGGGUAUAGACCCGAAACCCGGUGAUCUAGCCAUGGGCAGGUUGAAGGUUGGGUAACACUAACUGGAGGACCGAACCGACUAAUGUUGAAAAAUUAGCGGAUGACCUGUGGCUGGGGGUGAAAGGCCAAUCAAACCGGGAGAUAGCUGGUUCUCCCCGAAAGCUAUUUAGGUAGCGCCUCGUGAAUUCAUCUCCGGGGGUAGAGCACUGUUUCGGCUAGGGGGCCAUCCCGGCUUACCAACCCGAUGCAAACUGCGAAUACCGGAGAAUGUUAUCACGGGAGACACACGGCGGGUGCUAACGUCCGUCGUGAAGAGGGAAACAACCCAGACCGCCAGCUAAGGUCCCAAAGUCAUGGUUAAGUGGGAAACGAUGUGGGAAGGCCCAGACAGCCAGGAUGUUGGCUUAGAAGCAGCCAUCAUUUAAAGAAAGCGUAAUAGCUCACUGGUCGAGUCGGCCUGCGCGGAAGAUGUAACGGGGCUAAACCAUGCACCGAAGCUGCGGCAGCGACGCUUAUGCGUUGUUGGGUA
rnacentral:rRNA from 1 species